GAGUUUGAUCCUGGCUCAGGACGAACGCUGGCGGCGGGCCUAACACAUGCAAGUCUAAGGAGAAUUUCGGAGUAAUCUGAAAGGACACUGGCGCACGGGUGAGUAACGCGUAGGUAACCUACCUUCUGCUGGGGGAUAACAUCGGGAAACCGGUGCUAAUACCGCAUAAUGCAGCGGUCACGCAUGUGACAGUUGUUAAAGAAUUUCGGCAGAAGAUGGGCCUGCGUGUCAUUAGUUAGUUGGUAAGGUAACGGCUUACCAAGACGAUGAUGACUAGGGGGUCUGAGAGGAUGAUCCCCCACACUGGAACUGAGACACGGUCCAGACUCCUACGGGAGGCAGCAGUGGGGAAUCUUGCGCAAUGGGGGAAACCCUGACGCAGCCACGCCGCGUGCCAGAUGAAGGCCCUACGGGUCGUAAAUGGCUUUUGGUCGGGAAGAUAAGCCGGGUUUCGACCUGGUGUGACGGUACCGACUGAAUAAGCACCGGCUAACUCCGUGCCAGCAGCCGCGGUAAUACGGAGGGUGCAAGCGUUGUCCGGAAUCAUUGGGUGUAAAGGGUGCGUAGGCGGAUGUCUAAGUCUGGGGUGAAAUCUUGCAGCUUAACUGUAAAAUUGCCUUGGAUACUGGGUGUCUUGAGUACAGAAGAGGAUGGUGGAAUUCGUAGUGUAGCGGUGAAAUGCAUAGAUAUUACGAAGAACACCGGUGGCGAAAGCGGCCAUCUGGUCUGUUACUGACGCUGAGGCACGAAAGCGUGGGGAGCGAACAGGAUUAGAUACCCUGGUAGUCCACGCCGUAAACGAUGUGUGCUAGUUGUUGGCCUGUAUGGGCCAGUGACGUAGUUAACGCGCUAAGCACACCACCUGGGGGAGUACGUUCGCAAGAAUGAAACUCAAAGGGAAUUUGACNGGGGCCCGCACAAGCGGGUGGGAGCAUGUGGCUUAAUUCGAUGCAACGCGAAGAACCUUUACCUGGGCUAAAUCAUAGUGGAAAUAGCUAGAAAAUAGUUAUGCCCUUUCGGGG
rnacentral:rRNA from 1 species